UGCUCCCAUAAGUUAUCCCUCCCCUGUGCCACUGCGGGCAUUAGUGGUGGUCUCACCCACCAUAUCACAAGAGGAAUCUUAAAUCAUCCCACCAGAAGGUGAAGAGACCCACAAAAGGAUGGGAGAGGAGACUGGGAGGCAGAAGUUGCAGAUGAGAUCCCAGCAGCUGACAGUGGCAGCAGAAGAAAAUGAAGCAAAAACCUUUUCCAGGAAGAUGGACAGAUACUUUGCAGAAUCAUUUCCUUCCCCAAAAGCCAAGCGCAGUUGCUGUGCCCAAUUCUCCUUCCUAUGGCCACCUUUUAAUCAGACAAACUGGGCACAGGCACACAGACCUUCAGAAGCAUCGUGGAGCCUGCAGCUCUGUGCUGGGAAUAUCAGUGGAGAGAUGCAAAGUGAUUUCACUCACAGCCACAUUGUUGCUUGACUGACACCCUGUAAUAAAGAGA